rnacentral:rRNA from 1 species
UACAGAGGUCCCGAGCGUUGUUCGGAUUCAUUGGGCGUAAAGGGUGCGUAGGCGGCGGGGUAAGUUUGAUGUGAAAUUCCGGGGCUCAACCCUGGCAUGGCAUUGAAUACUACCUUGCUAGAGUACCGGAGAGGAAACUGGAAUUUACGGUGUAGCAGUGAAAUGCGUAGAGAUCGUAAGGAAGACCAGUGGCGAAGGCGAGUUUCUGGACGGUAACUGACGCUGAGGCACGAAGGACCAGGGGAGCAAACGGG